CAGCAAUGGGAGUGGCGCACGGGUGCGUAACGCGUAUGCAACCUACCUUUACCAGGGGGAUAGCCCGGAGAAAUUCGGAUUAAUACCGCAUAAGACAAUAGAAUAGCAUUUUUCAGUUGUUAAAGAUUUAUCGGGUAAAGAUGGGCAUGCGUCUGAUUAGUUAGUUGGUGUGGUAACGGCACACCAAGACGAUGAUCAGUAGGGGUUCUGAGAGGAAGAUCCCCCACACUGGCACUGAGAUACAGGCCAGACUCCUACGGGAGGCAGCAGUAGGGAAUAUUGGGCAAUGGUCGGAAGACUGACCCAGCCAUGCCGCGUGCAGGAAGAAGGGCCUCUGGCCUGUAAACUGCUUUAGCAGGGGAAGAAAAAGGGAGUGCGCUCCCAACUGACGGUACCCUGAGAAUAAGCACCGGCUAACUCCGUGCCAGCAGCCGCGGUAAUACGGGGGGUGCAAGCGUUGUCCGGAUUUAUUGGGUUUAAAGGGUGCGUAGGCGGCUUUGUAAGUCAGCGUUUAAAAACCACAGCUUAACUGUGGGGCUGGCACUGAUACUGCAGAGCUUGAGUGUAAACGAGGAUGGCGGAAUUUAUGGUGUAGCGGUGAAAUGCAUAGAUACCAUAAGGAACACCGAUAGCGAAGGCAGCCAUCCAGGAUACAACUGACGCUGAGGCACGAAAGCGUGGGGAUCAAACAGGAUUAGAUACCCUGGUAGUCCACGCUGUAAACGAUGAUUACUCGAUGUU
rnacentral:rRNA from 1 species